rnacentral:rRNA from 1 species
ACAGAGGGUGCGAGCGUUAAUCGGAUUUACUGGGCGUAAAGGGCGCGUAGGCGGUUUAGUGAGUGUGAUGUGAAAGCCCCGGGCUUAACCUGGGAAGUGCAUCGCAAACGACUAAACUGGAGUAUAAGAGAGGGUGGCGGAAUUUCCGGUGUAGCGGUGAAAUGCGUAGAGAUCGGAAGGAACGUCAAUGGCGAAGGCAGCCACCUGGCUUAAUACUGACGCUGAGGCGCGAAAGCGUGGGGAUCAAACAGG